GACAGUGACAGCGCGCCCCAUUGCCAAGAAUAACGUAAGAGAAGGAGGAGGAGGUUGUAGUAAGUAGUAACAGUAACCACGAUGAACAACUGACUAUACACAGCCAAACCACGGUGCUACGCUAAGGAGGUUCCGUUUUGAGCAAGGCAGAAGUAGCGCUUAUGGAAGAGGUUUUAAUAAGCAGUAACAGAAGGAGUAACCAGGAUGAACAACUGACUAUACAGAGCCAAGCCACGGUGCUACGCUAAGGAAGUCCCGUUUUGAGCAAGGCAGAAGUAGCGGCUUAUGAUGGCUCGCCAGGUGGAAUGUCUGGUUGGGUGGCGGGGCGGCGACGCGAGCCAGCACACAUUAUGCUUUAUAUGUGUGAGUGUGGCCCAAGGCUCUAGGCACAAAGACCUGGCACGGAAUCCUCCACUCUGUUGCUUACCGGCGCUGCGUUAGUACACGUUAGCCACCAGGUCUUGCUAAUACUAGGCACUACAUAAAGCCUUCGAGAUAUAAGGAAACAAUGAUAUAAGGAGAUUCCACGGCCACCACCUCAAGUUGGGUAAUACGUAACCUCUGCUACGGGGGUUUCUGCCUUAUAGUUAAAAUAGGAGUGCUUUCUGAGGUCAUUCAAGGCGUGUCACUACUGUUCAAGGGUCUGGUUGGCAUUUCCCUAAACUCCUUUCCUGAUUCCACUGUCGCCACCUCAAGUUAGCUAAUACGUAACCUCUGCUACGGGGGUUUCUGCCUUAUAGUUAAAAUAGGAGUGCUUUCUGAGGUCAUUCAAGGGGUGUCACUACUGUUCAAGGGUCUGGUUGGCAUUUCCCUAAACUCCUUUCCUGAUUCCACUGUCGCCACCUCAAGUAAUCCAAUAUCUAACAUCUGCUACGGGGAUUUUUACAUUUCAGUUUCAAGAUAAGACCUUUU